GCAAGUCGAACGGUAACAGGAAGCAGCUUGCUGCUUCGCUGACGAGUGGCGGACGGGUGAGUAAUGUCUGGGAAGCUGCCUGAUGGAGGGGGAUAACUACUGGAAACGGUAGCUAAUACCGCAUAAUGUCGCAAGACCAAAGAGGGGGACCUUCGGGCCUCUUGCCAUCGGAUGUGCCCAGAUGGGAUUAGCUUGUUGGUGGGGUAACGGCUCACCAAGGCGACGAUCCCUAGCUGGUCUGAGAGGAUGACCAGCCACACUGGAACUGAGACACGGUCCAGACUCCUACGGGAGGCAGCAGUGGGGAAUAUUGCACAAUGGGCGCAAGCCUGAUGCAGCCAUGCCGCGUGUAUGAAGAAGGCCUUCGGGUUGUAAAGUACUUUCAGCGGGGAGGAAGGGAGUAAAGUUAAUACCUUUGCUCAUUGACGUUACCCGCAGAAGAAGCACCGGCUAACUCCGUGCCAGCAGCCGCGGUAAUACGGAGGGUGCAAGCGUUAAUCGGAAUUACUGGGCGUAAAGCGCACGCAGGCGGUUUGUUAAGUCAGAUGUGAAAUUCCCCGGCUCAACCUGGGAACUGCAUCUGAUACUGGCAAGCUUGAGUCUCGUAGAGGGGGGUAGAAUUCCAGGUGUAGCGGUGAAAUGCGUAGAGAUCUGGAGGAAUACCGGUGGCGAAGGCGGCCCCCUGGACGAAGACUGACGCUCAGGUGCGAAAGCGUGGGGAGCAAACAGGAUUAGAUACCCUGGUAGUCCACGCCGUAAACGAUGUCGACUUGGAGGUUGUGCCCUUGAGGCGUGGCUUCCGGAGCUAACGCGUUAAGUCGACCGCCUGGGGAGUACGGCCGCAAGGUUAAAACUCAAAUGAAUUGACGGGGGCCCGCACAAGCGGUGGAGCAUGUGGUUUAAUUCGAUGCAACGCGAAGAACCUUACCUGGUCUUGACAUCCACGGAAGUUUUCAGAGAUGAGAAUGUGCCUUCGGGAACCGUGAGACAGGUGCUGCAUGGCUGUCGUCAGCUCGUGUUGUGAAAUGUUGGGUUAAGUCCCGCAACGAGCGCAACCCUUAUCCUUUGUUGCCAGCGGUCCGGCCGGGAACUCAAAGGAGACUGCCAGUGAUAAACUGGAGGAAGGUGGGGAUGACGUCAAGUCAUCAUGGCCCUUACGACCAGGGCUACACACGUGCUACAAUGGCGCAUACAAAGAGAAGCGACCUCGCGAGAGCAAGCGGACCUCAUAAAGUGCGUCGUAGUCCGGAUUGGAGUCUGCAACUCGACUCCAUGAAGUCGGAAUCGCUAGUAAUCGUGGAUCAGAAUGCCACGGUGAAUACGUUCCCGGGCCUUGUACACACCGCCCGUCACACCAUGGGAGUGGGUUGCAAAAGAAGUAGGUAGCUUAACCUUCGGGAGGGCGCUUACCACUUUGUGAUUCAUGACUGGGGUGAAGUCGGAACAAGGUAACCGUAGGGGAACCUGCGGUUG
rnacentral:rRNA from 1 species